GGAAGGACUGUGGCUCAGUGGUAGAGUGUCUGCCUUUUCAAGCAAAAGGUCUGAAGUUCAAUCCCUUGCAUCUCCC